ensembl:snoRNA U8 U8 small nucleolar RNA
UCGUCAGUGAGGUACAUCCUUACCUGUUACUUCAGAAAUGAAGUUUCAGAAAAUGAUGAAUGGGGCGGAAUGAGAAAUGAUUAUUCUCUCCUGACCUUCGUAGAACUGCAACUCUGCGAGGGUUCCAUUCUGAU